rnacentral:lncRNA from 1 species
AUGGUAAAUUGUCAUCGGAUGCAUCUCUUUGAUGUUGUUAACCAGUACCGUGCAAUAUUUGCUGAUGAUACUUCAGGGAGGGAAGAAAACUAUGAUGGUGGGCUUCUCUUCAGUUGGGCCAUGCAUCAAAUUUCUUCCCACCUUAGAACUCUAAAAAUGAUGCUACCGAAGAUCACUGAAGGAGGUUCUUUAUCAAACAUUCUUGAUCAAUGCAUGGUGAGCAUAUAUAUAUAUUUAUGCUAGGCAGUUGCUCAAAAUUCAUUUUGCAAAAAAGUAAAACAUCCAUUUGGUUGUGAUCGACCUUGAUGCUUUCUGCUUGCAAUCACCAUGAAUACUAAACAUGUGAAAGAUGUAUUGCAUUUUGAGUACAGAACAAAGGGAGAUGUAAGUUCCCAGAAAUGGCUGGAGAAGGAUAGUUUAAGUUUUGUUUUUAUCAUUCAAGUAAUUUGUUGCACUUUGGCCAUCCUGAUGGAAACAUUCCAAGAUUUUGAUAUGAUUUAUGAAAUGCAAAAAGCAGGCAAUUAUAUCCCCUUCUCUCUCGGGUGGGCAGGAAGGUGGUUGGUGGAGCACUAGAAGAAUGAAACACAUUUACCUUUGGGUACACUUGUCUGAUGAGCUAAUCAGAAGAGCCACAUUACGCAAAAGCUAGUCUUAAACCUAAAAGAGUAGAGUCAAAUUCCAUCCCUUUGUUUCCUUCUAGUCGCUUCGCUUUUCUCAGUCUACUUCAGUUUCCAACCUACCUUCUUUCUCACAUUUCAUGGCCAAUUUCAAUUUUCAACACAUCUUUGUCACAUUUUGGUGAAUGUAUCUCCACUCUUUGGCCUCUAUCUUCGUGAAACCAAAGCAGAUGGCAUCAACUUUACUGUCCUUCUCCCAUGUUAACAAUAGAAAAUAAGUAAGCUUCAAUUCUCUGCAGGCUGAAAAGUUCAAUCACUUACAACAUACCCAGUGAAAUCCCACUUCCCACUUGUCUGGGAGAAAAAAAGGUUCAAUCACUUCACAUAUUUAAAUUCUAAACUGACUUGGCUCUCAUAGCAUAAGCCAAGUAGAAAUUUCCUUAUUGCAUGUUCUAUUAGAAUGAUAACUAUUAUUCUCAAAAAGAAUGAUAACUAUUAGUUACAAGAGUUUGCCUGCAGACUUUUUUCUUAUAUUUCAUCCGUCUUGUUUGAUGUGAUAUCAUUUGACUAGCGUUCAGUUAGAUAUAAUUUGGCCAUCAUAUGUUAUUAGUAAUACUCCAUCCCGAUUUAUGUGAUGCUGUUUGACUUGACAUGGAGUUUAAGAAAGAAAGACUUUUUAAACUUGUAUCAUUCUUUUUGGGACUGACUAAAAAGAAAAGUGAGUCAUAUAAUUGGGUCAGAUGGAUUGGUAGAAAGUAUGAAUAGCAUCAAAAGAUUGGAAUUUUGCAUACUAAAUGAGAUUUAAGUACUUGAAAAUUGUGAAACUUGUAUAGAAUUAUAUUAAUUUGAGANUGUUGCUUUUAGUCGUCAUUUCUUUCAGUUGGUUCUUCUAUUCUCUUCACCAAUAUUUGUCCAAUUUUGCCCCUUCAACAGUUUCUAAGGUGCCGUCAGGCAUGGCUUUCUGGGAUCCUUGAUGACUUGGACCAGAGAAAUGCUUAUGAAUACCUCAAAGGGAUGGUAAAUUGUCAUCGGAUGCAUCUCUUUGAUGUUGUUAACCAGUACCGUGCAAUAUUUGCUGAUGAUACUUCAGGGAGGGAAGAAAACUAUGAUGGUGGGCUUCUCUUCAGUUGGGCCAUGCAUCAAAUUUCUUCCCACCUUAGAACUCUAAAAAUGAUGCUACCGAAGAUCACUGAAGGAGGUUCUUUAUCAAACAUUCUUGAUCAAUGCAUG